rnacentral:rRNA from 1 species
UACAGAGGGUGCAAGCGUUAAUCGGAAUUACUGGGCGUAAAGCGCGCGUAGGUGGUUCGUUAAGUUGGAUGUGAAAUCCCCAGGCUUAACCUGGGAACUGCAUUCGAGACUGCAUAGCUAGAGUAUGGGAGAGGGAAGUGGAAUUUCAGGUGUAGCGGUGAAAUGCGUAGAUAUCUGAAGGAACAUCAGUGGCGAAAGCGACUUCCUGGACCAAUACUGACGCUCAUGUGCGAAAGCGUGGGGAGCAAACAGG